GCCAGCAUGGCAUAGUAGUUUGGGUGUUCGAUUAGGACUCUGGAGACUAGGGUUCAAAUCCCUGCUCAGCCA